UACGGAGGAGGCAAGCGUUAUCCGGAAUCAUUGGGCGUAAAGAGCGUGUAGGCGGCCCGAUAAGUCCGCUGUGAAAGUCCAGGGCUCAACCCUGGGAUGCCGGUGGAUACUGUCGGGCUCGAGUCCGGUAGGGGAGUGUGGAAUUCCCGGUGUAGCGGUGAAAUGCGCAGAUAUCGGGAGGAACACCAGUAGCGAAGGCGGCACUCUGGGCCGGUACUGACGCUGAGGAGCGAAAGCGUGGGGAGCAAACAGG
rnacentral:rRNA from 1 species